GNNCAAAGGUUCCUUCAGAAGGNUGGUAACCGGCCACGGAGNGCUAAUGGAAUAAGGGAGCUUGACUGCGAGACCUUACAAGUCGAGCAGGUACGAAAGUAGGCNAUAGUGAUCCGACGGUUCAGCAUGGAAUGGCCAGUCGC
rnacentral:rRNA from 1 species